rnacentral:tmRNA from 1 species
GGGGACGCCAAGGUUUCGACGGGAUGUAUGGGUGGCGUUGGGAGCAGGCGGAGGCUGGGGUGCCCUCCUUAAUCAGGACUCCAAACCUUAAGUGCCAAUGACACUUACGCAAUGGCUGCCUAAUUAAAAUAAGGUAGUCUGUCGCCGCCGGGGAAUGUCUGGCGAACCCGCCCGCGAUAUCAAAACUUAGCUGGACUGGCCCGUGGACCGCCGCGCAAACGGGUGAGAUUAAGUGGCUGGCUUCCGAUAGAUUUGGGGUUGGGACGACCCGGAAGCAAGAUUUUCAUCCAACUCCUAAGCCUGUAGCGCCCGACGUGGUCCGCUUCUCGGACGCGGGUUCGAUUCCCGCCGUCUCCACAA